rnacentral:rRNA from 1 species
UCGGCGGGUCGCGCUGUCUUGGUAAAGUCGGUCCUCAUAGCAAUUGUUGUCUACUACAUGAUGGUGUUAGAUUUACCGGUGGAGGUCAAGAAGAAAAUUGAUGCCCUCAGACGUGCUUUCCUUUGGGCAGGUUAUGAUAAGGUCACUGGUGGAAAAUGCAAGAUAAAUUGGAAGCAAGUGUGCAAGUCCAAGAUGCAUGGAGGUCUUGGAAUCCUAAACCUUGACAAAUUUUCCACUGCCCUUCGCCUUCGGUGGCUGUGGGACGAGUGA